rnacentral:siRNA from 1 species
UCCAAUAUAGUCUGUUUUCUUG